rnacentral:rRNA from 1 species
UAGGGAAUCUUCCACAAUGGACGCAAGUCUGACGGAGCAACGCCGCGUGAGUGAAGAAGGUUUUCGGAUCGUAAAGCUCUGUUGUUGGUGAAGAAGGAUAGAGGUAGUAACUGGCCUUUAUUUGACGGUAAUCAACCAGAAAGUCACGGCUAACUACGUUCCAGCAGCCGCGGUAAUACGUAGGUGGCAAGCGUUGUCCGGAUUUAUUGGGCGUAAAGCGAGCGCAGGCGGAAGAAUAAGUCUGAUGUGAAAGCCCUCGGCUUAACCGAGGAACUGCAUCGGAAACUGUUUUUCUUGAGUGCAGAAGAGGAGAGUGGAAUUCCAUGUGUAUCGGUGGAAUGCGUAGAUAUCUGGAAGAACACCAGUGGCGAAGGCGACUCUCUGGUCUGCAACUGACGCUGAGGCUCGAAAGCAUGGGUAGCGAACAGG